rnacentral:rRNA from 1 species
AUUGAACGCUAGCGGCAUGCCUAACACAUGCAAGUCGUACGGCAGCACGAGGAGCUUGCUCCUUGGUGGCGAGUGGCGGACGGGUGAGUAACGCGUAGGAAUCUGUCUUGUAGCGGGGGACAACCCGGGGAAACUCGGGCUAAUACCGCAUAAUGUAUUCGGACCAAAGUUGGGGCCCUUCGGGCCUAACACUACAAGAUGAGCCUGCGUUGGAUUAGCUAGUUGGUGGGGUAAAGGCCUACCAAGGCAACGAUCCAUAGCUGGUCUGAGAGGACGACCAGGCACACUGGAACUGAGACAAGGCCCAGACUCCUACGGGAGGCAGCAGUGGGGAAUAUUGGACAAUGGGCGAAAGCCUGAUCCAGCAAUGCCGCGUGUGUGAAGAAGGCCUUCGGGUUGUAAAGCACUUUCGUUGGGGAAGAAAAAGCCAAAGUUAAUAUCUUUGGAAAUUGACGUUACCCAAAGAAGAAGCACUGGCUAACUCUGUGCCAGCAGCCGCGGUAA